rnacentral:rRNA from 1 species
UACGGAGGGAGCUAGCGUUGUUCGGAAUUACUGGGCGUAAAGCGCGCGUAGGCGGCUUCGCAAGUCAGAGGUGAAAGCCCGGGGCUCAACCCCGGAACUGCCUUUGAGACUGCGUCGCUAGAAUCCGGGAGAGGUGAGUGGAAUUCCGAGUGUAGAGGUGAAAUUCGUAGAUAUUCGGAAGAACACCAGUGGCGAAGGCGGCUCACUGGACCGGCAUUGACGCUGAGGUGCGAAAGCGUGGGGAGCAAACA